rnacentral:rRNA from 1 species
GGAGGUAGUGACAAUAAAUCACAAUGCGGAACAAUGUUUUGCAAUUGGAUUGAGAACAACGUACAAACCUUAUCGAUAAACAAUUGGAGGGCAAGUCUGGUGCCAGCAGCCGCGGUAAUUCCAGCUCCAAUAGCGUAUAUUAACGUUGUUGCAGUUAAAAAGCUCGUAGUUGAAAUGAAGGGUAGUUGUGUAAUGAAUACAUUCGUGUAUUUUGUUAUUCUACUACCCUCCUUCUAAAUUCGAUAUAUGAGUAUUAAUUUACUUGUAUAUGGUUUUAGACBUUUACUGUGAGAAAAUUAGAGUGUUCAAAGCAGGCAUUUGCUUGAAUAUAUUAGCAUGGAAUAAUCAUGUAUGAUUUUCAUGAUGUAUUUGAUUGGUUUGGUUCAUGAGAAUAAGAUUAAAAGGGACAGUUGGGGGUAUUCAUAUUCAAUAGUCAGAGGUGAAAUUCUCGGAUUUAUGGAAGAUGAACAAGUGCGAAAGCAUUUACCAAGGAUGUUUUCAUUAAUCAAGAACGAAAGUUAGG